AGGCAUCUUUUGACGAGAGACGGAACCCUAGUUCACAGACGUGGACUAAUGCCCAGAGGAGUGUUCAGAGGGAGGAUGACCUGCUACGUGUGGCGUGUUGGCUCGGCAUCUUUUGACGAGAGACGGAACCCUAGUUCACAGACGUGGACUAAUGCCCAGAGGAGUGUUCAGAGGGAGGAUGACCUGCUACGUGUGGCGUGUUGGCUCGGCAUCUUUUGACGAGAGACGGAACCCUAGUUCACAGACGUGGACUAAUGCCCAGAGGAGUGUUCAGAGGGAGGAUGACCUGCUACGUGUGGCGUGUUGGCUCGGCAUCUUUUGACGAGAGACGGAACCCUAGUUCACAGACGUGGACUAAUGCCCAGAGGAGUGUUCAGAGGGAGGAUGACCUGCUACGUGUGGCGUGUUGGCUCGGCAUCUUUUGACGAGAGACGGAACCCUAGUUCACAGACGUGGACUAAUGCCCAGAGGAGU